rnacentral:rRNA from 1 species
GUACACGCUGUGACUAGCAUAUCAAUAAGCGGAGGAAAAGAAACUAACAAGGAUUCCCCUAGUAACGGCGAGUGAAGCGGGAAGAGCUCAAAUUUGAAAUCUUAAAGGGUUUCCCUUUACGAAUUGUAGUUUAAAGAAGUGUUUUCUGUUGAGGUUUUGGUAAAAGUUCUUUGGAAUAGGACAUCAUAGAGGGUGAGAAUCCCGUAUUUGACCUUUACUUUCAACUUUGUGAUACACUUUCAAAGAGUCGGAUUGUUUGGGAAUGCAGUCCAAAAUGGGUGGUAAAUUUCAUCUAAAGCUAAAUAUUGGCGAUGAGACCGAUAGCGAACAAGUACCGUGAGGGAAAGAUGAAAAGAACUUUGAAAAGAGAGUUAAACAGUACGUGAAAUUGUCAAAAGGGAAGCGUUUGACACCAGUGUUGUUUUUCUGAAAAUCAAUUAAAGAACUGUUUAUGCUAAGCUGUUUAGACUUUAUCAGCUAUCUGUUUAGUUUUGAGCUUUUCUUUAAUGCACUUUUCAGUUAACAAGUCAACAUCAAUUUCUUUUGCUGUAAAAAAGCUUGAGGGAAGGUGGCUUGAGAUUCGUCUUAAGUGUUUAUAGCCUCUUGCCUAUGCAGUCGGAGAGAUUGAGGUCUGCAGCGUAGAUCCUUCGGGGCUAAAUGCAUUUGUGCUAAGUUAUAACAUUUUAUAGACAACUUGUUGACUAUGAAUUUGUCUUGUAGCUUACUCGCUUAUGUUAUUUUACCUACGCUUAGGAUGUUGACGAGACUGUCGAUCUC